ensembl:lncRNA
GGGAGAGGUUGAGGGUAGAGGAAGGACAUCAGUAAUAGAUGGUUGAGGUUGAGGCUAGAGGAAGGACAUCAGAAAUAGAUGGUUGAGGUUGAGGCUAGAGGAAGGACAUCAGUAAUAGAUGGUUGAGGGUAGAGGAAGGACAUCAGUAAUAGAUGGUUGAGGAUAGAGGAAGGACAUCAGUAAUAGAUGGUUGAGGGUAGAGGAAGGACAUCAGUAAUAGAUGGUUGAGGGUAGAGGAAGGACAUCAGUAAUAGAUGGUUGAGGGUAGAGGAAGGACAUCAGUAAUAGAUGGUUGAGGGUAGAGGAAGGACAUCAGUAAUAGAUGAGAGAGGUUGAGGGUAGAGGAAGGACAUCAGAAAUAGAUGAGAGAGGUUGAGGGUAGAUGAAGGACAUCAGUAAUAGAUGAGAGAGGUUGAGGUUAGAGGAAGGACAUCAGUAAUAGAUGAGAGAGGUUGAGGGUAGAGGAAGGACAUCAGUAAUAGAUGAGAGAGGUUGAGGGGAGAGGAAGGACAUCAGUAAUAGAUGGUUGAGGGUAGAGGAAGGACAUCAGAAAUAGAUGGGAGAGG